UGGGGAAUAUUGGACAAUGGGGGGAACCCUGAUCCAGCCAUGCCGCGUGUGUGAAGAAGGCCUUUUGGUUGUAAAGCACUUUAAGCGAGGAGGAGGCUACCGAGAUUAAUACUCUUGGAUAGUGGACGUUACUCGCAGAAUAAGCACCGGCUAACUCUGUGCCAGCAGCCGCGGUAAUACAGAGGGUGCAAGCGUUAAUCGGAUUUACUGGGCGUAAAGCGCGCGUAGGUGGCCAAUUAAGUCAAAUGUGAAAUCCCCGAGCUUAACUUGGGAAUUGCAUUCGAUACUGGCUGGCUAGAGUAUGGGAGAGGAUGGUAGAAUUCCAGGUGUAGCGGUGAAAUGCGUAGAGAUCUGGAGGAAUACCGAUGGCGAAGGCAGCCAUCUGGCUUAAUACUGACACUGAGGUGCGAAAGCAUGGGGAGCAAACAGG
rnacentral:rRNA from 1 species